rnacentral:lncRNA from 1 species
UAUUCCUCUUGUUCCAAUUUAACCAUCCAAACGCUAUUUAUCUUAUUCCUAGGAACAACUCAAUUUUCAUCCAAACGCAAAAUUGGUCUAGUUCUUGUUUAUACCUGAACUUGUACCUAUCCCUGGAACAAGCAGUUUUUACUUAUACCCGAACCAAACGCAGCCUUAAUGUGUUGCGUUGAAAGUGACAAAUCCCUUCCCCUGUAUCAACAAUUCAAAAAUAUAAGCUUAAAAUUAGGGCCGAGCUCGAGCUUAUUUCAGCUCAAAUUCGUCUUGAAAUUAAUUUCGAGCCUAAAUUUUAGGCUCGAACUCGACUGAAAAUUAAUUCGAGCCGAGCUUGAGCGAGCUAAAUUUCGAGUCGAGCGAGUUCGAGUCCUAAAUGAGCCACUUGAAAUUCUCAACAUUGUACAAUUAAUAGUUUAAUUUGUAUAGAACAUUAUUUACAAUUUGAUAUAAAAAUAUAUCUAACAGAUCAAAAUACGAAAUAAUUAUAUGAAAUACGGUAUUAUAAUAUGAAAAAAAUAACUUAUGAGUUUGUAAUAACUGAGAUUUUUUUAUUUAUUGAUUAAA